rnacentral:rRNA from 1 species
UACAGAGGGUGCGAGCGUUGUCCGGAAUCACUGGGCGUAAAGGGCGCGUAGGCGGUGACUUAAGCGUGUGGUGAAAGCUCGGGGCUCAACCCCGAGUCGGCCGUGCGAACUGGGUCACUGGAGCAGAUCAGAGGCGGGCGGAAUUCCGGGUGUAGCGGUGGAAUGCGUAGAGAUCCGGAAGAACACCGGUGGCGAAGGCGGCCUGCUGGGCAGUUGCUGACGCUGAGGCGCGACAGCGUGGGGAGCGAACAGG